rnacentral:rRNA from 1 species
CAAUAGCGUAUAUUAAAGUUGUUGCAGUUAAAAAGCUCGUAGGUGGAUUUCGGGGCAGCCUGGCUGGUCCGCCGCAAGGCGAGUACUGGUCAGCCGCCCUUCCUCUCGAAAGCCCCGACUGCUCUUCGUUGCAGUGGUCGGGUAGUUCGGGACGUUUACUUUGAAAAAAUUAGAGUGUUCAAGGCAGGCCUACGCCUGAAUACAUUAGCAUGGAAUAAUGGAAGAGGACCUCGGUCCUAUUUUGUUGGUUUCCAGGGCCGAAGUAAUGAUUAAGAGGGACAGUUGGGGGCAUUCGUAUUUAAUUGUCAGAGGUGAAAUUCUCGGAUUUAUGAAAGACGAACAACUGCGAAAGCAUUUGCCAAGGAUGUUUUCAUUAA